rnacentral:lncRNA from 1 species
AGAGCGAGAAGAUGAUGCAUGUGAGCCCUGCCCUUGGGAAGCUUCCAGGUUGGGAAAUGAGGAAUGAGCCUGACACCCAGGGCCCAGAGAGACCCAGGACAGAGGCAGAUGUUCUCACAGAGCUACACAUGCCACAGUCAUCACUAGUUGCGAGAGUCUCCAGUGUUCAUUAAGCCUAUUUUGCUGGAAGUUUAGUCCCUGGAGGAUUAGUCCCUGCCCUUAAGGAGUGCCAAAGAAGACUUUGGAAUCUAAGUCACAUCUCCCCUGCUGCAAUUUUUUCCUCUUGAUAAUCAAGGAAUCUCACUGAUAAAACUCUCAAUGAGGAGCAGCUCUCCCCAUGAGCAAGUUCUUGCCUUCAUUGCCAGGGAGGCCCCAGCUAAGGUUAUACUGGGAAAGGAAUCUCUGGGGAGUACCUGGAAGAGGUCAGCUUCUCCUCAAAGGAAGCCUCUCCAGCUGGUGUACUGCAAAGCCUUCCAAGACCAAGUUCCCUCUUCCUGGCCUCUGGAACCAGCCUGUGUGCCAGCGCUGUGUCCCCAGUAACACACAUGAGUCUCUCCCUCAGAAGCCACAGAAGGAUGCAGAGAGAGACCAACCCAGGAUUGAUUCUCAGCACUUACUAAUUGUGUGGACAUAACUGCUCUGGACCUCAGCUUUGCUAUCUAUAAAAUGAGCACCCUUUUUAUAGAUAUGAACACUUUAAGAGAGUCAUAAAGAUUGAAGUUGAUUUGUGCUGCGCCUGGCACAGAGGUCUCCCUCAGUAAAUGGCAGCCACUGCUAUUGGGGUGCCCCAACACCCCUUGCCCCUGCCCACCAUUAGCUUUCACUUAGGCCCACACUGAGGGUGUGGCUGUUGUGUUGGGGGAAGGAAAAAAACCAUGCCUGGGUUGCAGGGCCCCCACCACCAACUGGUCUGCUUUUGUGGGAAGCAUUUUCUGAUGCCCUCGCCCUACCCGUGGGCUGGUUGACUAAGUGUCCAGCAUCAUGAGGAAAAGAGCAGGGUUCAGGGACAGCUUGGCUCAGCCCUGAAACUCAUCUGGGCCUAGGUCCAGAUGAGAGGCAAGCCUGGGAGGCCUUCCGUUGUACCCUUGCCUAUCCUGCAGCACCCUCUAGCCUGCAGGCCGCUCCUGGGUGGCAUAGCACCUUGGAUGUCAGGUGUGGGCCUUCCCAGGCACAUGGCAUGAGGGGGCACUUCUGUGGGUUGUUGGGGGCAGGAAGGGAUGUGUCUCCAGCUGGACUUGGGCUCUCGCAUUUUGGGGCCCAGCCAUGCCAGGACAGCACACAUGGGCGCUUAGUGCGAAUCUCAUGAUGGAGCAGAGGAGGAGCAAAGCAAAACCAGGGAGUCCCCAGGCCCCUGCUUCUGCCCCGCCCAGAGACAGUGGAGCAGGUGUCUCCAGCUUCUUAACCUCAACGCACAGUAAGAAAUACAUUUUACAGCAACCAAUAGACACAUACAUUUACAAAACGA